rnacentral:rRNA from 1 species
UGGGGAAUAUUGCACAAUGGAGGGAACUCUGAUGCAGCAACGCCGCGUGCGGGAUGACGGCCUUCGGGUUGUAAACCGCUUUCAGCCAUGACGAAGCUUUUGUGACGGUAGUGGUAGAAGAAGCACCGGCUAACUACGUGCCAGCAGCCGCGGUGAUACGUAGGGUGCGAGCGUUGUCCGGAAUUAUUGGGCGUAAAGAGCUUGUAGGCGGUUUGUCGCGUCGAUAGUGUAAACACGCAGCUUAACUGUGUGCCUGCUGUCGAUACGGGCUGACUAGAGGAGGGUAGGGGAGAAUGGAAUUCCCGGUGGAGCGGUGGAAUGCGCAGAUAUCAGGAGGAACACCAGUGGCGAAGGCGGUUCUCUGGACCUUUCCUGACGCUGAGAAGCGAAAGCGUGGGUAGCAAACAGG